UACGAACCGUCCAAACGUUACUCGGAAUUACUGGGCUUAAAGGGUGCGUAGGCCGCGCGGAGGGUGGGAUGUGAAAUCCCCCGGCUCAACCGGGGAAUAGCGUCCCAAACCGCCGUGCUCGAGGGAGACAGAGGUGAGCGGAACUGAUGGUGGAGCGGUGAAAUGCGUUGAUAUCAUCAGGAACACCAGUGGCGAAAGCGGCUCACUGGGUCUUUCCGUAACGCUGAGGCACGAAGCGUAGGGGAAGCGA
rnacentral:rRNA from 1 species